ACACUUUUAAACUUGACUUAUAUUUUUAUAAAAUUAAACAACUUUAGACAACGGAUCUCUUGGCUCUACGCAACGAUGAAGAACGCAGCGAAAUGCGAUACGUAAUGUGAAUUGCUUUUAUUCGUGAAUCAUCAAAUCUUUGAACGCAUAUUGCACUCUACUUCGGUAGAGUAUGCCUGUUUGAGAAUCUAUAGUACCCAUUCUCGAUGGUUCGGUGCGCUGAAAAGUGUAAAGGACUGGAGAGAGACUUGAGCUUUCCCUUUUAUUAGGGAUGCUUUAAAUUUAUAUAGAGCUGCUUUCUGAGAAGAUAGUCCUUUGCUUGGCAACAAGUACUGGACGUCUCCAAAGUUGAGUAAAAGUGUUUGAAUGAAACCUAGUUUCUCAUCUCGCCUAUUAACCAGCUGUGGGGAUUUGCUCUUGGAUUGUGGUAAACCAAAAACUAGGAGGUGGAUUUAUUUCUGCCUUCGAACCAUGGUCUCAAAUCAGGUAGGAAGACCCGCUGAACUUAA
rnacentral:rRNA from 1 species